rnacentral:rRNA from 1 species
AGUUAGGGGAUCGAAGACGAUCGGAUACCGUCGUAGUCUUAACCAUAAACUAUGCCGACUAGGGAUCGGAUGAUGUUAAUUUUUUAAUGACUCAUUCGGCGCCUUACGGGAAACCAAAGUGUUUGGGUUCCGGGGGGAGUAUGGUCGCAAGGCUGAAACUUAAAGGAAUUGACGGAAGGGCACCACCAGGGGUGGAGCCUGCGGCUUAAUUUGACUCAACACGGGGAAACUCACCAGGUCCAGACAUAGUAAGGAUUGACAGAUUGAGAGCUCUUUCUUGAUUCUAUGGGUGGUGGUGCAUGGCC